rnacentral:rRNA from 1 species
UACGAAGGGGGCUAGCGUUGCUCGGAAUUACUGGGCGUAAAGAGCUCGUAGGUGGUUUGUCGCGUUGUUCGUGAAAACUCACAGCUUAACUGUGGGCGUGCGGGCGAUACGGGCAGACUGGAGUACUGCAGGGGAGACUGGAAUUCCUGGUGUAGCGGUGGAAUGCGUAGAGAUCCGGAAGAACACCGGAGGCGAAGGCGGCUUGCUGGACCUGGUCUGACGCUGAGGCGCGAAAGCGUGGGGAGCGAACAGG